UUGAUUGAUGUCGGAAAAAAAUUAUGACUUUAUUGUUUGAAAACGCUUCUAUUAUCGAUUUGCAAGGCAUUGUCCCGAGGUUUCUUGGCAAAGCUUUAGGUGUAUGCCUGGAUUAAAGGAAUGGAUGUCCGAGUUGAGGGUGUGGCUUGUUUAGAUUUCUUGUAGGUGUUUUGAUUUUACGUCACGAUAAUAUUGAAAAGGCAGCAUUGAUACUGUUCUCACGUCUGAAGCAGGGUUAGUCAAGCGGCAUAGGAGAAACGGUUUAUUAAAUCAUACUAUCAACAUGCGGCGCCACGUGCGUUAUCUAUGCAGAUUUCUGUAAAUUUGGAGUACGUGGCACGGUCGUUAAUAGAAACUACUUAUGCCAUCUUUUGGUAGUGUGAUUUCAAAUUAAAUCGACGAAUUUAUCCAAAAAUCCAAAAUAUUAAGCAACCUUUGGCGCGCAAUGUCACACUACAUUCAACGGUGUCAAAAAGUUUUUUCAAUUUUAAAUGUUUCAAUUUCCAAUUUGAAUUUUUCUGCUACGUGUUGUGUUCGUGGUUUUCUCUUUUUAUUCUUAUUUGAAUUCGUUUGUUGGUGUUAUCUACUUCUAAAGUAAUCUCAAAAACAUUUAAGUUUUGAACUUUCGAAGGCUAAAAUUUGCUCUGGUGUGGACCUAUUGUACACUUAAAAGGCAACCUACAACGUUUAUUAAACAACUUCUGGCUGGCUGGAACACAUGAUUCUGGAAACAGUGCAUCUCUUUACUUGUGAAAGUUAUCCAGAAACAAAUCGACUUGGGCACCAAAAAUAACUUCGAGAAUUUAAAUCAAAUUUCAUUUUUUGAGUGGACAUCUAUGAUGGACACCGUUUAAGACUUCUACCUUGCACAUAGUGUCUUUUAUUUAAUACACGCGUUCAUUCAUUCAUUUGUACAAAAGCCACAAAAAUGUAUCUUGAACUCCCUUCUUUUUACCGUUAAGUUUCAAGACUGGUGAAUCCACCAAAGUGGAGUCCUUACAUUAAAAUCAGAAAAACCUCUUACUCAUAAUAAGUUCAUAUAAGUAAAUUUGUUGUAAAGUCAUUUACGUGAGUCUACAACCAACACGAAAACAUACAAGAAAUGUUUGCACAUACUAUUAAAAGCACUACUUUUCUGUGAAAAUUGAAUUGGGCACAUGUCCAAAACUCCAAUGGUACCUUAUUAGAGUCCGUAUUUACUUACUUAGUGCUUUAAUUUUUUUCCAAGUUUCAAAAUAAUGUUAAAUAACCGGUUUUGAGGGUGAGGAAGUUGCCAAAUUAAAAUGUGGAAGCCAAACACGACAUUUAUUUCUUAUAAUUGAUGUUUUCAUAAUUUGUGAAACAUUAAUUCAUUAAUAAAUUAUUUUCAUUCA